UCAGGAGCUUACUACUGGCGAUCUGAAAUCAGAUGUCAUACAUGCCAAUACUAGCAAUUCAAGAGUGUCGCAAGAUGAUGCAAACGGGCCUAUGAGAGAUCCAAGUGAAAUGGUACUUCGAACGGUGACUUCAGAACCCACGGUGCAGCUCCAGCCCCUUACGUCAUCAGAUAUAAGGAAGUGGUCGGCCGACAGGAAGAGGCGAAGAAACGACUGAAAUAAACAUUAGGAAUUUAAA